rnacentral:lncRNA from 1 species
AUCAGUCAAGAAGCUCUUUUGUGUGUGACCGCAUAGGUUCUGUUCUGUUUAGUAGUGAGAGAUACCAUAAUCUCUAUUAUAGUAUCAUCGAAACACCUUUCGGUGGACUGAAAUAAUUUCAACUCACACCCAAUAAGGAUCAUCAAUCUAGAAUGAUCCUAGUGAGUUCUUACAAUCCACUAGUGAUGCCUAGCAGUAUAUGAUAGUAAUCCUGUAGAAUAGAAUAAGAACCUCUAUGUGUAGUUACCAUGUGAUUCAGUUUCUCUAUCAUUAGUUCCGACAAGAUGGAGAUUAGAA